AUUGAACGCUGGCGGCAUGCCUUACACAUGCAAGUCGAACGGCAGCGGGGACUUCGGUCCGCCGGCGAGUGGCGAACGGGUGAGUAAUGUAUCGGAACGUACCAUUGAGUGGGGGAUAACUAUCCGAAAGGAUAGCUAAUACCGCAUAUUCUCUCCGGAGGAAAGCAGGGGACCGCAAGGGCUUGCGCUGAUUGAGCGGCCGAUAUCAGAUUAGCUAGUUGGUGAGGUAAAGGCUCACCAAGGCGACGAUCUGUAGCGGGUCUGAGAGGAUGCUCCGCCACACUGGAACUGAGACACGGUCCAGACUCCUACGGGAGGCAGCAGUGGGGAAUUUUGGACAAUGGGGGCAACCCUGAUCCAGCCAUGCCGCGUGAGUGAAGAAGGCCUUCGGGUUGUAAAGCUCUUUCGGCCGGGAAAAAAUCGCAUGGGUUAAUACCCUGUGUGGAUGAUGGUACCGGAAUAAGAAGCACCGGCUAACUACGUGCCAGCCGCCGCCGUAACAC
rnacentral:rRNA from 1 species